CGCAACUCAACGACAAGAGAGGCAUAUGUUGUCUGAUAGUGACUAAAAUCCUUUAUUCUGCCCUCGACUUGCUAUCAUCUUUCGCUAGAGGUCUAUGCAUUGCACUGUACGCUCGUACAUUUCGAAUGUUCCCGCUCAUUUUUAUUCCAGCAUUGGGAUGAUGUUGAUGACGAUCUCCCCAAAACAUGUUGAAGGAUGGUGUAGAAUCUUCAUCUUCUUUGAGUAUAUGAGCCAUUCCUUUAGCUGACUACAAUCUAUUUUCCAUAUCUGUGUCAUGAAGUAUAAUGCGUGACCAUCGAAUCUUUCGAGCUAGAGCAAUGUUUUGGGGUUGGAAAUGAGCAAUUUCCUCAGGGGUAGUGACGAUGUUUCUCUUGUCAGGAGAGGUGGGUUUUGAGAUAGAAUAGAAUUGGUGAACGUGAAUAUUUUUGUUGGAUUUGGGAGAAGAGCCUUGUGGGAGGUUUGAGUUUGUGAAAGGGUACGAAGAUUGGAGGGGCGAGCGAGUGAGGAGCGAUGAAGAGGACUGGCGGAGGGGUGACGUCCUCCGUGGUAGUUCUGGACAAUGGAGCAGGAUACUGUAAGGCAGGUAUGGCGGGGCAAUCAGAGCCUACAGCAGUGGUGCCUAAUUGUAUGGCGCGGCCACGCUCGGCGAAGAAAUGGCUCAUCGCGGACCAGCUGUUGGAGUGUGACGACAUUCAGAGUAUUGCCAUCAAGAGGCCGAUCGACAGGGGUUAUAUGAUCAGCCCGGAAAUCGAACGCGAAAUAUGGGACCGCGUUUUUAAGGUCCACCUUAAGGUUAAUCCUACGGAGUGUGGGUUGAUGCUUGUUGAACCUUUGUUCACCUUGUCGUCAAUUCAAAAGGCGACAGAUGAGCUUGUGUUUGAAGAUUUUGGGUUUCAAUCGUUUUGUAUAUCGAAUUCGGCUGUCUCUGCGCAUGCGUACCAAGCACAGAAAGCGCCGACGAGCAUCCUUGCCAGGGGAAGGACUAGCUUAGUCGUGGACUCGGGAUUUUCUUUCACGCAUACCGUGCCCGUGUUCCAGAAUAAAGCUGUGACGACUGCGGCGAAGCGUAUUAAUCUAGGAGGCAAAGCUCUCACAAAUUAUCUUAAGGAGUUGGUGUCGUACCGGGCAUGGAAUGUAAUGGACGAGACAUAUACCAUGGAGGACGUGAAGGAAAAACUGUGUUUUGUCUCUUUGGACAUUGAACGUGAUCUCAACAUUGCUCGGGUGAAAGGCAAAUCGAACGCUCUGCGGCGCGAGUAUGUACUGCCGGAUGGCGUCAAACAUAAGCGUGGUUUUGUGAAGGAACUUGAACCCCUGUCUGAUGACAAGGUUGUAAAUGUUAGCGACGAAGAUGACGAUGAUGAUCAUCAUAUGGACGAGGAUCAAGGUGAGGAGGGUAGAAGGCACCGGGUACAGCGUAAACAAGCACCACCUCAAAUCAAGCAAGAAGAUCAGCAAGAGAUUACUUUAACAAAUGAGCGCUUUCUGGUCCCGGAGAUGCUAUUUCACCCUGCUGACCUUGGGAUGAAUGAGGCGGGACUGGCAGAGUGCAUCGUUCGAGCAAUCAAUGCUUGUGAACCUGAACUUCAUGCUCUCCUUUAUCAGAGUGUGCUGCUAACGGGUGGGAAUACUUUGUUACCUGGUUUCAAGAACCGUUUAGAGCAUGAGCUUCGUCCUCUGGUAACUGACGAUUUCAAUAUCAACAUUGAGAUCGUGGACUGUCCAAUUUUAGCAGCUUGGAAGGGUGCGUCUCUUAUGGCAGCUAGACCCGAGUUUCACACCUGGGCUGUGACCAAGGCCGAGUACGAAGAGGAUGGUACUCUGCGAUGUCGACAAAGGUUUCAGAAGUGAUGGCUGAUUUUUAACUCCACAAUUGUUUACACUGAUGCUGAGAAAAGAAUCUACGUGUUCAAAUUGGUGAAGUAUUUGAGGUAACUCCUUUACGGAAGGGGCGCUUUAUAUUUACAAGAGUAUCUUUGAAAGAUCAUGGUUUAAAAUCUCUAUUAAGGUUUCCCUUUUGGUGAAGAAAAAAUCUCUUUUGAAAUACUUGGCUUUUGGAUAUAGAAGAAAGUGAGAAGAGGUCAUGAAGUGGACCAAAUUAUUUUUUAUUACAAGUUUAAUUAUAUCAGCAUGUAUUUUGUUUCAAAAAAUUAUGAGAAGUUUCAAAAAACUUGAUUUA